rnacentral:rRNA from 1 species
GAUGAACGCUGACAGAAUGCUUAACACAUGCAAGUCUACUUGAAUUUGGGCUUUUAACUUAGGUUUGGGUGGCGGACGGGUGAGUAACGCGUAAAGAACUUGCCUCACAGCUAGGGACAACAUUUAGAAAUGAAUGCUAAUACCUAAUAUUAUGAUAAUAGGGCAUCCUAUAAUUAUGAAAGCUAUAAGCGCUGUGAGAGAGCUUUGCGUCCCAUUAGCUAGUUGGAGAGGUAACGGCUCACCAAGGCGAUGAUGGGUAGCCGGCCUGAGAGGGUGAUCGGCCACAAGGGGACUGAGACACGGCCCUUACUCCUACGGGAGGCAGCAGUGGGGAAUAUUGGACAAUGGACCGAGAGUCUGAUCCAGCAAUUCUGUGUGCACGAUGAAGUUUUUCGGAAUGUAAAGUGCUUUCAGUUGGGAAGAAAGAAAUGACGGUACCAACAGAAGAAGUGACGGCUAAAUACGUGCCAGCAGCCGCGGUAAUACGUAUGUCACGAGCGUUAUCCGGAUUUAUUGGGCGUAAAGCGCGUCUAGGUGGUUAUAUAAGUCUGAUGUGAAAAUGCAGGGCUCAACUCUGUAUUGCGUUGGAAACUGUAUAACUAGAGUACUGGAGAGGUAAGCGGAACUACAAGUGUAGAGGUGAAAUUCGUAGAUAUUUGUAGGAAUGCCGAUGGGGAAGCCAGCUUACUGGACAGAUACUGACGCUGAAGCGCGAAAGCGUGGGUAGCAAACAGG